AUUGAACGCUGGCGGCAUGCUUUACACAUGCAAGUUGAACGGUAACAGGCCGCAAGGUGCUGACGAGUGGCGAACGGGUGAGUAAUGCAUCGGAACGUGCCCAGUCGUGGGGGAUAACGCAGCGAAAGCUGCGCUAAUACCGCAUACGAUCUAUGGAUGAAAGCGGGGGACCGUAAGGCCUCGCGCGAUUGGAGCGGCCGAUGUCAGAUUAGGUAGUUGGUGGGGUAAAGGCUCACCAAGCCGACGAUCUGUAGCUGGUCUGAGAGGACGACCAGCCACACUGGGACGGAGACACGGCCCAGACUCCUACGGGAGGCAGCAGUGGGGAAUUUUGGACAAUGGGCGCAAGCCUGAUCCAGCAAUGCCGCGUGCAGGAAGAAGGUCUUCGGGUUGUAAACUGCUUUUGUACGGAACGAAACGGCUCUGGUUAAUACCUGGGGCUAAUGACGGUACCGUAAGAAUAAGCACCGGCUAACUACGUGCCAGCAGCCGCAGUAACAC
rnacentral:rRNA from 1 species